rnacentral:rRNA from 1 species
UUGGAGGGCAAGUCUGGUGCCAGCAGCCAUGGUAAUUCCAGCUCCAAUAGCGUAUAUUAAAGUUGUUGCAGUUAAAAAGCUCGUAGUUGAAUUUCGGGAUCAGUACGCUGGUCGUGCCUUUGGUAUGCACUGGUGUCACUGAUUCCUCCCUUCUGAAGAACCAUAAUGCCAUUCAGUUGGUGUGCCGGGGAAUCAGGUCUGUUACUUUGAAAAAAUUAGAGUGUUUAAAGCAGGCUCGCGCUUGAAUACAUUAGCAUGGAAUAAUGAAAUAGGACGUUUAAUCCUAUUUUAUUGGUUUUUAGGAUCGAUGUAAUGAUUAAUAGGGAUAGUUGGGGGCAUUAGUAUUCAAUUGUCAGAUGUGAAAUUCUUGGAUUUAUUGAAGACUAACUACUGCGAAAGCAUUUGCCAAGGAUGUUUUCAUUAAUCAAGAACGAAAGUUAAGGGAUCGAAGACGAUCAGAUACCGUCGUAGUCUUAACCAUAAACUAUGCCGACUAGGGAUCGGAUGAUGCUAAUUUUUUAAUGGCUCAUUCGGCGCCUUACGGGAAAC